CCUACGGGUGGCAGCAGUGAGGAAUAUUGGUCAAUGGGCGCGAGCCUGAACCAGCCAAGUCGCGUGAGGGAUGAAGGUUCUAUGGAUCGUAAACUUCUUUUAUAAGGGAAUAAAGUGUGGCACGUGUCCUAUUCUGUAUGUACCUUAUGAAUAAGGAUCGGCUAACUCCGUGCCAGCAGCCGCGGUAACACGGAGGAUCCGAGCGUUAUCCGGAUUUAUUGGGUUUAAAGGGUGGGUAGGUGGUCUUUUAAUUCAGGGGGAAAUGUCUGUGGCAAAACCUUAGAAGUGCCGUUGAAACUGGGGGGCUGGAGUGUGGUUGAGGCAGGCGGAAUGCGUGGUGUAGCGGUGAAAUGCUUAGAUAUCACGCAGAACCCCGAUUGCGAAGGCAGCCUGCCAAGCCGUGACUGACGCUGAUGCACGAAAGCGUGGGUAUCAAACAGGAUUAGAUACCCGAGUAGUC
rnacentral:rRNA from 1 species